AAGCGAGCCCUGAGAUGAGUCAUCCCUGACCCCUUGAGGGUCCUAAAGGGGCCGUUGGAGACCACAACGUUGAUAGGUGGGGUGUGUAAGUGCAGUGAUGUGUUGAGCUAACCCAUACUAAUUACCCGUGAGGCUUAACCAUACAACACCCAAGAAGUGUUCUG
rnacentral:rRNA from 1 species